AAUGCGGCGGUGGCAAUGGAGAGGUGGUGGUGAGGUGGAGGUGUGACGGCCUUAUGUGGUGGUGGAGUGAGGGAUAAAUGAGAAGAAAAGGGUGAUUUAGAUGUUGAAAUGGAAGAAAAAAGAGAGAAAAAGGGGGAAGAGCAAGGUGGUAGACGACAAAGAAAGGGGAGGAGAGAAAAAUGAAAAUAAAAAUAAAAAGUGAAUUGGACAUGUCUAGGUGCAUGGCCAGCCAAGGUAAGGUAAGGGAGGAAAUUU
rnacentral:lncRNA from 1 species